rnacentral:misc_RNA from 1 species
GGACAAAUGGAGACACUUAUUUCUUUUCUUACAGAGUAGGGUAGAACAUGCUAGCAACACUCAAUAAGGUAAUGAAACUGUGUGCAUAGGUAUGAGUAACUCCACAGUAUAAUGUCAAAAUCAUGGAGAGAUGCAUGUGGGAUAUUUUUAUUGUUUUUUUUCUUCAAAGGCAAAUCAUAUGCGUGUCUUUAUUUUAGGAGAAGCAUAAGAUUGUAUGGUGACUUCUACUCGUCAGACAUGAUUGUUGCUUCCCCACUUGGAUUAAUCACUAAAAUUGGGGAGGCAGAAUUAUACAAGGAUAAAAAUGUUGAUUAUCUGUCUUCUAUAGAGGUUCUAAUUGUCGACCAUGCAGAUGUCAUAUUGAUGCAGAAUUGGUCACACGUGAAUACAAUUGUUGAGCAAUUAAAUCGGAUACCUUCCCAGCAACAUGGAACAGAUAUUAUGCGCAUUAGGCAGUGGUAUUUAGAUGGUCAAGCGCCAUUCUAUCGGCAAUCAAUAAUCUUAUCUUCUCAUAUAAAUCCAGACAUCAAUGGAUUAUUUAACCAUCAUUGCCUCAACCAUGAAGGAAAGGUCAAACUGGCAAGCGAGUAUAAAGGUGUUUUACCAAAGGUAGUACUUCAAAUACGGCAGAUUUAUGAGCGAUUUGAUGCGAAUACUGCUGAAGAUGCUGAUGAUGCCCGGUUUGACUAUUUCACAAAAAAGGUGUUCCCCAAGAUAAAAGAUUCCACUCAGGGUGGUAUAAUGCUAUUUAUUAGCUCUUACUUUGAGUUUAUCCGUGUAAGGAACUUUUUGAAGUCACAGGAGGCAUCCUUUUGUCUGUUGGGAGAGUACACUGAGCAAAGUGACAUAUCUCGUGCACGAGGGUGGUUUUUUGAUGGAAAGAAGAAAAUCAUGCUUUACACUGAAAGAGCUCACUUCUAUCACCGAUACAAGAUACGUGGCAUUCAGAACUUGAUCAUUUAUUCACUUCCAGAGCGGAAAGAAUUUUACCCAGAGGUUGUAAAUCUGCUACAAGGGUCUGCUUGCACUGUUCUAUUUUCUCGUUAUGACCAGCUUCGGCUUGACAGGAUUGUUGGUACUGCUGCUUCAAAAAGGAUGGUCACGUCGGACAAGGGUGUUUUCGUCUUUUGCUAAAAGGGAAGUCACAGAAAAUCUCAACAGUAGUGUUUGGCCAAAGAGGUCUUGCUUUUAGAAGGGUCCAACUGUUUCUGCAGCUCAAGGAACUGCACUUAUCCAAAAGAAGGAAAAUGGUUCUUGCCUCUUGUUACACAUUCUUUGAGCAAUAUUGCUUAAUUUUUUCUUUUUAAAAUUUUGAUAUUUGUAUAACAUUAUUAAGUUUCAGA